rnacentral:rRNA from 1 species
UACGGGGGGGGCAAGCGUUGUUCGGAAUUACUGGGCGUAAAGGGCUCGUAGGCGGCCAACUAAGUCAGACGUGAAAUCCCUCGGCUUAACCGGGGAACUGCGUCUGAUACUGGAUGGCUUGAGGUUGGGAGAGGGAUGCGGAAUUCCAGGUGUAGCGGUGAAAUGCGUAGAUAUCUGGAGGAACACCGGUGGCGAAAGGCGGCAUCCUGGACUAAUUCUGACGCUGAGUGAGCGAAAGCCAGGGGAGCAAACGGG